rnacentral:rRNA from 1 species
UCAGGAAAGUNUGGAGUAAAAGGCUAUGGCUCAACCAUAGUGUGCUCUGGAAACUNUCUGACUUGAGUGCAGAAGGGGAGAGUGGAAUUCCAUGUGUAGCGGUGAAAUGCGUAGAUAUAUGGAGGAACACCAGUGGCGAAGGCGGCUCUCUGGUCUGUCACUGACGCUGAGGCUNGAAAGCGUGGGUAGCGAACAGGAUUAGAUACCCUGGUAGUNCACGCCGUAAACGAUGAGUGCUAGGUGUUAGGCCCUUUCCGGGGCUUAGUGCCGGAGCUAACGCAAUAAGCACUCCGCCUGGGGAGUACGACCGCAAGGUUGAAACUCAAAGGAAUUGACGGGGGCCCGCACAAGCGGUGGAGCAUGUGGUUUAAUUCGAAGCAACGCGUAGAACCUUACCAGGUCUUGACAUCCCGAUGCUAUUCUUAGAGAUAGGAAGUUACUUCGGUACAUCGGAGACAGGUGGUGCAUGGUUGUCGUCAGCUCGUGUCGUGAGAUGUUGGGUUAAGUCCCGCAACGAGCGCAACCCUUAUUGUUAGUUGCCAUCAUUAAGUUGGGCACUCUAGCGAGACUGCCGGUAAUAAACCGGAGGAAGGUGGGGAUGACGUCAAAUCAUCAUGCCCCUUAUGACCUGGGCUACACACGUGCUACAAUGGUCGGUACAACGAGUUGCGAGCCGGUGACGGCAAGCUAAUCUCUGAAAGCCGAUCUCAGUUCGGAUUGGAGGCUGCAACUCGCCUCCAUGAAGUCGGAAUCGCUAGUAAUCGCGGAUCAGCACGCCGCGGUGAAUACGUUCCCGGGCCUUGUACACACCGCCCGUCACACCACGAGAGUUUGUAACACCCGAAGUCGGUGAGGUAACCUUUUAGGGGCAGCCGCC